AGAAGGCUCUCAACAAAUCAUGAGGUUCUUGUUUGCAAGACUUCUGCUGCCUUUAUAUCUCUGUGCUGUGUUCAGAGAUAUUGCAUGGGAGGAAUAACAAUGGCUCCAGUGGCAUUUGUGGGUCUCCUUGACGGCUGAGCAGGGAAGCUGGUGCUCCCAGUGGGCUGACCUGUAUUUCUCUGGGUAAAUAUCUGAGAAGUACCAGCCACCUCUCCUCUGGUUAAAUUAGAAGAAACUGGCUAGAGAGAGCUCAGAUACAGGGCUGAAAACAAAGACAUCCAAACAUUGAGCCAUUUAGAAGAGGAAGAAGCCAAAAUCUGUGCCAGAGGUUUGACUGCUGGGAUACUCAUGGCUUCAGUCUGGCCUCCAGAAGCUUUGUUGCUCCAUCCUCAUCUCCUGGACUGGGAGGUAGCUUACUGCUGUGGGGAGACUGACCUCCAAGCUCUCUGUAUCCAACCCAGUCUGCUGUCCCCAUCGUGGACAGAGAAAUAAACCUCAGAGAAUGGAUUGCUUUCCCCUCCCUCCUGGAAAAGGCUUCCAGGCAUAAGAGGAGAUGGUGUCCUUUCGGUCUUGAAUGUCCAAGAAGUCCAGCAUGGGAAUAACUGAACAAGGGAUCCCAGACCUGAAGGGGAUCUACUGUUCCUCCUCCUCCUCCAUUUUGCUGAGACAUCAGCAAUUAUAAGAAAAUGACGACAUCUGAAGGCUGCAUCAGAAGAAAGAGCCAAGUGGCUAAUAACCCUUUCUGCCUAGGAGUGGUGUUUGGUCCCCACUUUUACCUGAUCUCUCUGAAUCACACGGCACAGAGGUGAACCUGGUGAUUUGAGAAUUAGCGGCUGUGAUACCAAGCAUGGCUGACCAGAAAUGGAGAUAAGAGGCUGUCAAUACCUGUUCUUCCCUUCAUGCACAUAGAAAGCCUGUGAUGAAUGUUUUAGAUUCACUGACUGUGGUCCAGGGGCCACCAUUUUGAGGGAAGUUCCAAGGCUAGGGUUUAACCCUCAGUCCAGGUUUUUCUUGCCCAAUAAAUAACCCAGACCAAUAGAAACGUAACACAGCAAUUCAUUAAAAACUUCCCAUGAAAGAAAUGUUCUUAAAAACAAGGAAAAAUCCCCUUUUGGAACUUGCAACACAAAUGUAACUCUGUUAGUGCACAAAAUUCAGAGUAAACCUGAUUAGAAACUGAAGUGAAAGCCAGACGUCUGUUUCCAUUGUCCAUCAGAGAGAAAUGCCAAGGGACAAGGAAACAGCAGAAUGUAAAAAGCAAAUUGGAUUAUAAAAAGCCUUGUAAGGAUAAGCUUUUGUGGGAUCGUCUACAAAUCUGAGUACACAGUGUUUAGCAUGCCAGCAUCCAUUCAGGUUAAUUAGACUGGAGUCCUGUGCCACAAGCUGUGUGAAUAAUCUAAAAUCACAACAAAUGAGUGAGUAGUAUCCACACGUCAUAGGAGAAAAAAUACAAAUGUGAGUGCAAUGGGGCUGGUAAGGUUUGCACCUUCACAGAAAAGAAGGAUGAUAUCUGAAUGCAAUGGUCACUUGAUUUUGCAGGAAAUGUUUCUCACAUGUACAGCACUUUUAGGAGUCCCAGAGACCAACCUUUCAGGCUGUACUGGUCACUUUUUGCCUUUAUUAUUAACAGAUGCAUUAGGAAUUGCAAUGGAGAACUGUUCUGCCUGGGUAAAACAUCUGUGAGUGGCAGGGAGAGCCUGUCUAUGGCCAUGCAGAAAGGAGGGUGUAAUGCAAUGCCUCUCUAAGUGCCAGAGAGAGCUGAGCAGUGGCAGGACUGGAUACCAGGUCUUGAGGGACUCUGCCGGGCUGCCCAGAGAUCUGAGGUGGUGGACUGGGUCUGCCACAGUAGAGGGGGAAGUCACAUAACCCAAGGAUCUUCAGAAGCAAUUGUAUUUUAGUUAGCAAUGAGGAAAGGAAUAAUGUUUAAAGAAGUUACUGCCUUCAUACAGUAAAUAGAGUUUUAAUCAUCUUGGAAGUAAGGUGGACAGAAGGACUGGAUAGCUCAAGGAAAUGGUCUGAACUGAGUCAAGCUCAGCAAUGAUUAAAAGCUGCUACCACUUACAGCAGUUCAGGGGAUAUUUGAGAUGAGCCGAUAGAUUUCACAGGAAAUUCACCACAGGCAUUCACAUCUUUGCAGCACCACCUAAUUGGCUCCCAUGUUGGCAGUCUCAGCAGUGAUGCCUUAGUUUAAAGGGGUUGUGGGGAGUAAAUCCACUGCUCUGGGUGGGGAACAACCUGGGGUGCUCUGGCAAAACAGGGCAUGGAGGCAUAGGUAAGCUUGUCAUGCCACUGGCUUUUUUUUUAUUGCUUUGAGGAGAAAUAAAAGCUCCCAGCAAUUCCAGCCAUCAGCCCAGUACUGCUCAGAGAACUGAGAUCUUUCCAAUAAAGCAAGCCAACAGCAAGGCAAGAAUUUGUAGCCCUGUUCCUCUAAUUGCAAGGCUCUUCCCCAGCCCCAUUAAUUUCCUGUGAAACGGAGAAGUUUAGUCAGCAUUAAAUCUGGGAAUGUUGCCUUCCACUGGGGCUCUCUGUUACACAGCAGACAGGCUUACAUUUUUGCUGUGACAAAUAUUUUAUUGACAUUGAUACAAUAUAUACAUUGCAAAAGAACAUUCAGGAUAAAGUAUUUCUCUGUUUCAGUGGGGAGACAUGUUUCGUAUACAGAUGGCUGGAAUAAAUCUGGCCUCACAAUUAAAAUCUGUUUAGAGUUUGUAGUGAAGUGACUGAUGGAUUUGGCUCAGUGCUCCAUCAAUCCCCCCUCCCCAUGUCUCUCGGUAGAACAACAUUGAUGGCAGGUCAUAAAUAGCCAUUUGUACAAAGUGCAGGAACUCUUUAAGUAUCAUUUUAUAGCUGGUAUAUAUAUUCCAAGUGGCUGGCAAAAUGCAAAAUGGUUGGGGUCUUUAAGUAGCAAAGGCAACAGACCGUGGGUGGACAGCAAUACCUUUCUAUUUGUAUACCAAGGGUGCCUAUUUGAACCUUAUAUUUGUGCCCACUGUGGGAAUGAGGAUGUUGUUAAUAUUCUGGUAAAUUCUUUAUUUGCUGCAUACACAAAAUUCAGGUCCUUUUCUAAAGAGAGAGAGGUACUAAACAGGGUUUUCCUGUCCACAUUGAGGCCUGUCUAAGUAUACGAUUGUUAAAUCUCCCCAACACUUCAGAUUAAUGCAGAUUUUCAUUUUGCUUUUUGUCCUAUAUUCUUGCAUAAUUUUAGUGGACACCACAAACAGCCACUUUUUUUCUUCUCCACAAGUUUUUUGUCUCAAGGCUGGAGGAAAAUCAGGCCCUGUUGGAAGGUUCUACCAAUUGUGAAUUAUUUCAGUGGUGCUUAACACUGUGAUGGAAGGGUCCAGUUGAUCAUCAAACAAUGUGAAAACUAAAAGCUGUAUAAAAAUGUAAAAUACUAAGGUAAAAGCUCUCUGCAGUAAUGGUAGCCACAUGUCAUGGAUGGGGGGUGGUAGCAGAGGCAUGGAGCAGAACCGUGAUGCAGCCUCUCGUCUCACCAAGCACAGGAGCAUCUUGAGCAGCCCUGAGCAGGGAGAGUUGGCCUGGGCACCUCCCUUGCUGCAGCAGGACUGCUGUGUGUUCUCACAGGUGCCCCUCUAAUUAUCCUGUUCCUAAAGGCAAUCUUAGGCAGGAAGGCAUCUUGGCAGUGCCCCCGUAGCAUGGCAACUUCAAACCCAGGACCACGGGCUACUGCUGUACUAAAGAUGGGUGCUAGCAGUGCGUGUGUCUCCCCUGGUGGGACACGAGCCAGGUUCCUGAGCUGAACAUCUUCUGUCCUGCUGUACAGAGACCAUGGAGAGUGCCCUCAGCUGCCAGAGAGAAGCCUGCAACAGAGGAGGUCGAGUACUCUGGAAACCUCUCCUUCCAGAGUUCGCUGUGCAGUGGCAAUGUUCACAUGGAUAGGAAAUGUCCUUGCACUCACCCGAGAUGUGAAGUCAAGAGUAAACUUGUGGUGAUCAGAGCCUGAACAGAAGGGAAGGAGCUUUUCAAAAGUACCUAUGAAGGAAG